rnacentral:snoRNA from 1 species
UGUUGUAAAUGAUGAGAAAACUUUUUCAGUAUUAUACAGUUAUCCCUGUCUGAAUGGGUAUCAAUAGGUAACCACUCAUGUGUCGAUAAUUUUCACUCUGAUCACUUCA